rnacentral:rRNA from 1 species
CGAUCUUCUGGCUCAGGAUUAAUGCUGGUGGUAUGCAUAACACAUGCAAGUCGAACGAAGGGAGUUUACUCCCUUAGUGGCGAACGGGCGAGUAAUACAUAUUUAACUUACUCACGCGAGGAAGAUAACUACUCGAAAGAGUGGCUAAUAAUCCAUAGGUUUGCAGGCUGCAAAUUAAAUGCGGAGUCCUUUCGAAGGCUUCGAGAGCCGCGUGCGUGAAUAGGAAUAUGUCCUAUUAGGUAGUUGGUGGGAUAAGAGCUUACCAAGCCGUUGAUGGGUAGCUGGACUGAGAGGUUGAACAGCCGCAAUGGGAUUGAGAUAUGGCCCAUAUUCCUACGGGAAGCAGCAGUGAGGAAUUUUUCACAAUGGACGAAAGUCUGAUGAAGCAAUACCACGUGAAUGAUGAAGGCCUUCUGGUUGUAAAGUUCUUUUAUUUAGGAAAAAAAUCACGAUAGGAAAUGAUUGAGAUUUGAUCGUACUAAUUGAAUAAGUGACAGCUAACUAUGUGCCAGCAGCUGCGGUAAAACAUAGGUCACAAGCAUUAUCCGGAUUUAUUGGGCGUAAAGGAAGCGUAGGCGGAAGAGUUGAUCCAGUGUUAAAGGCAUCUGCUUAACAGGUGUUUGCAUUGGAGAUCGCUCUUCUAGAAUUAGUUAGGGGGUACUGGAAUUCAAUGUGUAGCGGUGGAAUGCUUAGAUAUAUUGAGGAACACCAGAGGCUAAGGCGAGUGCCUGGAACAUAAUUGACGCUGAGGCUUGAAAGCGUGGGGAGCAAAUGGGAUUAGAUACCCCAGUAGUCCACGCCGUAAACGAUGGGUAUUAAGUAUUUGAUUAUCGUAAAAUUGAGUGCUGUAGCUAACGCGUUAAAUACCCCGCCUGGGUAGUAUAUAUGCAAAUAUGAAACUCAAAGAAAUUGACGGGGACCUGAACAAGUGGUGGAGCAUGUUGCUUAAUUCGAUAAUACACGCAAAACCUUACCGAGACUUGUAAUCUUCUGCGAAGCUAUAGAAAUAUAGCGGAGGCUAUCGGAAUGACAGGUGGUGCAUGGCUGUCGUCAGCUCGUGUCUUGAGAUGUUUGGUUAAGUCCCGUAACGAGCCC